GAAAAAACCUAGAGAUGGACAUCUGUGAACCAGAAAGUUGGAUCUGCAUAAAUAGAGAAAAAUUCAUGUUUAUGGAGAAGACAAUUGAAUAUUGUGAAGAUGUCUUUCACUAAAAUGAUCUACAAAUUCAAAGCCAUAUCUGUCAAAAUCCCAGCUGUCAUUUUUAUAGCUGUACACACUGAUACUUAAAGGCAACAAGUUGACAAAUGGACAUGAAUUUCACCUCUGAGAGUUUCAUAAGCUGGUAUUGUCCUGACAUUGCAAAGUGUUUACCACAAAGAUCCUGUACAUCCAUCAUCCAGGGCCAGCGUUUGCCUGAUUCUAAUUCCACUGACAUUGAAAUCUACAGCUCUCUUUUUAUAGCUCACAGAUGUCUUCCUUAAGGACCCGAGAGCCAUCUUUGAAACAUAAGUAUCAAGUCAGAUAGCACACCUAUCUUUCAGUUUACGUGACAAGUGCCUUGGAAAUACGACCUAUUGAAUGU
rnacentral:lncRNA from 10 species